UAUUGAUAACAUGCAUUAGCUCUUCUGUAGUCUAUCUCAUAAGAACUCCAUAGUUAAGCGUGCUUGACCUAGAGUAGUAUAGGGAUGGGUGACCUUCUGGGAAGUUUCCCAGAAAAUGUGCAAUAA
rfam:Cajanus cajan Scaffold129075_1, whole genome shotgun sequence.